GGAAGCAGCUUGCUGCUUUGCUGACGAGUGGCGGACGGGUGAGUAAUGUCUGGGAAACUGCCUGAUGGAGGGGGAUAACUACUGGAAACGGUAGCUAAUACCGCAUAAUGUCGCAAGACCAAAGAGGGGGACCUUCGGGCCUCUUGCCAUCGGAUGUGGCCAGAUGGGAUUAGCUAGUAGGUGGGGUAACGGCUCACCUAGGCGACGAUCCCUAGCUGGUCUGAGAGGAUGACCAGCCACACUGGAACUGAGACACGGUCCAGACUCUUACGGGAGGCAGCAGUGGGGAAUAUUGCACAAUGGGCGCAAGCCUGAUGCAGCCAUGCCGCGUGUAUGAAGAAGGCCUUCGGGUUGUAAAGUACUUUCAGCGGGGAGGAAGGCGAUAAGGUUAAUAACCUUGUCGAUUCACGUUACCCGCAGAAGAAGCACCGGCUAACUCCGUGCCAGCAGCCGCGGUAAUMCGGAGGGUGCAAGCGUUAAUCGGAAUUACUGGGCGUAAAGCGCACGCAGGCGGUCUGUCAAGUCGGAUGUGAAAUCCCCGGGCUCAACCUGGGAACUGCAUUCGAAACUGGCAGGCUAGAGUCUUGUAGAGGGGGGUAGAAUUCCAGGUGUAGCGGUGAAAUGCGUAGAGAUCUGGAGGAAUACCGGUGGCGAAGGCGGCCCCCUGGACAAAGACUGACGCUCACGUGCGAAAG
rnacentral:rRNA from 1 species